GUUUGCUUCGAUAGCACAUAUACUAAAGUUGGAACAAUACAGAGAUUAACAUGGUCUCUGCACAAAGAUGACAUGCAAAUUCAUGAAGCAUUCCAUAUUUAA